rnacentral:rRNA from 1 species
UACGGGGGGGCAAGCGUUGUUCGGAAUUACUGGGCGUAAAGGGCUCGUAGGCGGCCAACUAAGUCAGACGUGAAAUCCCUAGGCUCAACCUAGGAACUGCGUCUGAUACUGGAUGGCUUGAAUCCGGGAGAGGGAUGCAGAAUUCCAGGUGUAGCGGUGAAAUGCGUAGAUAUCUGGAGGAACACCGGUGGCGAAGGCGGCUUCUGGACAGAUACCGACGCUGAGGCACGAAAGCUAGGGGAGCAAACAGG